rnacentral:rRNA from 1 species
UACGUAGGGUGCAAGCGUUAAUCGGAAUUACUGGGCGUAAAGCGUGCGCAGGCGGUUCGCUAAGACCGAUGUGAAAUCCCCGGGCUUAACCUGGGAACUGCAUUGGUGACUGCCGGGCUAGAGUAUGGCAGAGGGGGGUAGAAUUCCACGUGUAGCAGUGAAAUGCGUAGAGAUGUGGAGGAAUACCGAUGGCGAAGGCAGCCCCCUGGGCCAAUACUGACGCUCAUGCACGAAAGCGUGGGGAGCAAACAGG